rfam:Vibrio splendidus LGP32 chromosome 2
UGACCCUUCUUAAGCCGAGGGUCACCUAGCCAACUGACGUUGUUAGUGAACCUUUCUUGUUCACGAUAUAUAUAGGCCAAUUGCGAGUAUUGCGAUUGGCCAUUUUUUU